UCCUGUUAAUUUUUUCCUCUUCUAUUUUUUGGAAGCAUCUGCUCAGCGUGCGAUGAAACUCGAGAUGGUGGGAGAGUUCUUUGCUCAGGAGAACCGAAAAGCGAACAAAUUCAAAACUGUAAUCGAAAUCUCGACGGGACCAAUGCUUGGGAUUUUUUGGGAGCCUGAGUGAGCAUCAGUAACGAGGCGAACAGUACCCUAAUGAAUAGCCCUAAUUGAGGUAGAGCUGGGUGCGAUUUGACAUUCUUCGCGCCACACAUUCAAAACUCAAAAAUUUCCCUCACCCACCACAGUUUCCCAGUAAAACUCCCUCCGGAAAUAAAUAUACUCUACUUUGAUCGGAAAAACACUCUGUCCAUUUUCUUCGUUUAUUGUUUGCUGGGUCUGUGAUGGCACGCGGAAGAAAGCCGGCGAGAAGGGAGGUGGAGGAAAAAUAUGAUGCUGAGGGGAAAGGGAGAGUUAAUGCAGUUGAGCCUGUGGAGGAGGAGGAGGACAAGAAGCGUGGUAGGAUUGAAGAGAUUAGGGAGCAGGGAGAGGAGGAUGCUGGGGUUUCGGGGGAGGAGACCGAGAAAGGCGGUGAUUCUGCCAAUGGAGGUGGGGUUUCUAUGGAAAGUAGGCAGAGAACUCGUGGGGUGAGAAAGGUGAGUUAUGCAGAAGUUUUGAGCGAAGAGGAUAGUGACGUUUUAGUUAAGAAGCGUCGGAGUAGAAGGAAGUUGUCUGCUGGAGGAAAUUCUGGUGUUAAGAAGAAUAAGAAAGUUGGGGAAAAAAAUGGGUUGGUAUCGGAGCACCAAAUUGUUGGCGUUGCUGAGGAGAGGAUACUGGAAAGUCCAAUGAAGAAGCGGGGUAGAAAGAGAAGGGAUUUAUCCACUGGACGAAAUAGUCAUGUUCAGAAGAAUGAUAAAGUUGGGGAAAAGAAUGGGUUCAGCACAGAGGAAGGAAUUGCUCAGGAUGCAGAUAAGGAAAUGAUUCUGGGAAGGACUCAAAAGAAGCGUGGGAGGAAGAGGAGGAAUUUAUCGUCUGAGAAAGGCGGUGGAGAAAGUUGUGGUGCUCAGCAGAAGGAGAAAGUUGAGGAGAACGGCUUCGAUCCCGAGCAAGGAAAUGCUGGCGAUGCAGAUAAGGAGGGGAUACCAGAAAGGCCAAAGAAGAAGCGUGGCAGAGUUGGAGUUGCGAAGAGGGAUACGAAAUGCGCAGUUAUGGAAAACAAGAAGAACGAUGGGGCAGAGAGGAAAUAUUCUUCUGGAAGGACCUCUGGGACAGGUUAUUCAUUGAGGGCUACAAACGUUCCAAACCGAGAGAUUGAUAAAAUAAAUAAACAUAAUCCAAAGUGGAUUGAAGAGAUGUCCUUAAUGUGCCAUCAAUGUCAGAGGAAUGAUAAAGGCCGGGUUGUUCGGUGCACAAGUUGUAAGAGAAAACGAUAUUGUAUCCCUUGCCUGGAUAGAUGGUAUCCAAAUAUGGAGAAGAAAGCUGUUGCCGAGGCUUGUCCAGUAUGCCGUGGAAAUUGCAAUUGCAAAGCAUGCUUGCGUUUGGACGUACCUGUUAAAAAUUUGAAGAACCUAGAAUUAAUUGUGAGUGAAGAUGAGAAAUUUGAGCACUGUCAGUACUCCCUACAAAUACUUGUUCCAAUUUUGAAACGGCUUAAUGAAGAACAGACGAUUGAGAAGGAAAUGGAGGCCAAAAGACAAGGUUUAUCACUUCCACAGUUAGAGAUAAAACAAGCAGAUUGCCCUAUUGACGAGCGUAUGUACUGCAACAACUGCAAAACUUCCAUAUAUGAUUUUCACAGAAGCUGUCCUAGAUGUUCGUUUGAUCUUUGCCUUAUCUGUUGCCGAGAGAUUCGUGAUGGAAAUCUGCUGGGAGGUGAGAAAGAAGUGAUUGUGCAGUAUAUUAACCGGGGGCUUGACUAUUUGCAUGGUGGAGAGGGAGAAGAAGUGGAAUUACCUACUGAGACUAGGCUUCUGGAUCAUAUAAAGUCAAAAUUUGAGUGGAAAGCAAAAGAAGAUGGCAGCAUCCCUUGCCCCCCAGAAGACAUGGGUGGUUGUGGUCAUGGCACUCUAGAAUUGAGAUGUAUGUUCUCCGAAAAUCCCAUUGCAGAGUUGGUGAAAAAUGCAGAAGAAAUAGCCGGAACUUACAAACUUAUGGAUGUGGCUGCAACUCCUUUACAACGGUGUUUGUGUUUCAAUUCUGUGGGUGAAAUUGACUUGAGCAAUGAUAGGUUGCGGAAAGUGGCUUCUCGAGAAGAUUCUGACGACAACUAUUUGUAUUGCCCAAGGGCCCAAGAUAUACAUGGGGAUUUGAAGCAUUUCCAGUGGCAUUGGAGCAGAGCCGAACCUGUGAUUGUGAGCAAUGUGCUUGAAUCUGCAUCUGGUUUAAGUUGGGAACCUGAGGUCAUGUGGCGUGCAGUCCGUCAAAUGAAACAUGCUAAGCAUGGUAGGCAGUUGGAAGUAAAGGCUAUUGAUUGCUUGGAUUGGUGUGAGAGCGAUAUCAAUAUCCACCAGUUCUUUACUGGGUAUAGGCUUGGUCGUCCUGAUUGGCUUUGGUGGCCCCAAAUACUAAAACUGAAAGAUUGGCCUCCAUCUAAUUUAUUUGAGGAAAAAUUGCCACGCCAUGGUGCUGAGUUUCUCUGUUGCUUACCCUUUAAGGAAUAUACACAUCCUCGUAAAGGCCUUUUAAAUAUCGCAGCCAACUUGCCUGAGAAAUCUCUGAAGCCAGAUAUGGGCCCCAAGACUUAUAUUGCUUAUGGAUUUCCUCAGGAGCUUGGCCGUGGGGACUCUGUCACUAAGCUUCAUUGUGACAUGUCUGAUGCGGUAAAUGUUUUGACACAUACUACCAAAGUGAAAUUUGAAUCUAAGACUCUAAAGACUGUAGAGGAGUUGAAAAGGAAACACUUUGAGCAAGACCAAAAGGAAAUCUUUGGGGAUUUUCAGCCUAUGGAUGAAAAGGUUGAGAGUAACAUUUCUGGUGGUGUGUCUUGUCCAGUUACUGCUAAUGAUAAAGAAUUUAGUGGUGUACUUGGGAAUGAAGACAAAGAGUUAACCAUUAAAGAACCAGCUGAUCCUAUUAUUCGACUUGCUGGUGAUUCAACUAUGAAUUGGACAGAAUUUUCAAGUGGACCAGAGAUGGGAAAGACUGAAGAGGCCAUCUUGGAUCAAAUUUACAAUGCUGUGAGUGGUCCUACAAUUUCUGGAAAUGAUAUGGACAGGUUAGAAGCUUCUGAGGGUGGUGCCCUUUGGGACAUUUUCCGGAGACAAGAUGUCCCGAAACUGCAGGAAUAUCUUAAGAAGCAUUUCAGGGAAUUCAGGCACACCCAUUGUUGUCCAGUGCCACUGGUUGUUCACCCUAUACAUGAUCAGACCUUUUAUUUGACUGUGGAUCACAAAAGAAAGCUCAAGGAGGAAUAUGGAAUUGAACCAUGGACAUUUGUCCAAAAUCUUGGAGAUGCUGUCUUUAUCCCUGCUGGCUGUCCUCAUCAAGUAAGAAACUUAGAGAAGUGCUCUCUCUUGGAGGAAUUGCAGAGGCUGGAGGGUGAUGAGGAGGCAGGAAGUUCUUCUCCGCAGAUGAGAGAAUCCGCAAAGUCAGGUGGUCACAGAACUAGAAGGGGUAACUUCAAGGGAAGAGAUCUCUAGGGGACUGAAAAAAGUUUGAAAAAUGUAGAUAUUCCAAGAUUGAAAGGGUAACUUUAAAGUCUAGUAUUCCAAGACUUCCAUACAAAUGCCAGGCCUGAAAAAAGUUUUAGUGCUACAUUCAUGACUCAUUCCCAAAAGGCUGGAGGCAAUGGAUAUGAAAGACUAUUGCCCUAUUAGUCUUGUGAAUGGAGUGUUGAACCGAUUGGGUAUGGUGAUGGAAAAGCCAAUUUGAAGCCUGAAAACGCCUUUGUCAAAGUUAGAUUCUAGACCCAAUAUUAAUUGCUAAUGAAUGCUUGCAUGGUAGAUUCAAGUCUAAAGAACUUCAGUUAAUUUGUAAGUUGGACAUGGAGAAAGCUUAUGACCAUGUCAAUUGGAAUUCUUGUUCUAUUUGCUUGAGGGAGUUGGCUUUCUUGGCAAUGUAUUGUAUCUCUACACUUUGCUUUUCUAUCUUGCUGAUUGGAUCCCUUGGUUUUUUCAACAACUCUUGUGGCUUGAAAUAGGGGGAUUUGCUUUGAAUUUUUCAUUAUUGUCAUGGAAACUUUCAACAAGAUGAUUUCAUGCCUAGUGGAUGGUGGCUUUCUCCUAGGCUUCUCAGUGAGAUGGCAAUUCUCUUAGGAUCUCUCACCUCUUAUUUGCUGAUGAUACCUUCAUCUUUUACAAGGCCAACCGAAGUCAAACUUAAUCUUUGAGGCCACUUUUUGUUUCGAUGUGGCUUUUGGUCUGAAAGUGAAUUUAUUUUAGUCUGAUACAAUCCCAAUGGGAAAUGUUCCUAAUGUGGUGAGCUUGGCUAGUUUCUGGGAUGCAAGGUAUCUUCCUAAUCCAUGAAGUACCUUGGGCUACCUUUGGGUGCUACUUUCAAGACUACAAGUAUUUGGGAUGUUGUGAUCGAAAUUGUGGUGUAGAUUGGCUGUUUGGAAGAGGUUAUACCUAUCCAAAAAGGGUUGGCUUACUCUAAUCAAAGCAUUCUCUCAACAAUUGUAUGUGGGCUAAUUUAUUGAGGGGGUGUUUGCAACUUGGUCAUGUUCAACCAAUCUCUGUUUGGAAAGUGGUUGUGGCGAUACCACCAAGGGAGGCUUUAUAGAAGGUUGUCAUAGACUUGAAAUUGAGUGAAGCAUGGGAUGGGUUUGUGGAAGCACAUAAGAAGAUGGUAAGCCUACUCUAGAACACUUGUAUUGAAUUUGGCGAUGGCUUUCAAAUCAAAUUUUAGCAUUAAGUAUGGUGUGGUGACCAAAGCCUCAAAGUUAAAAUUUCCAGCAUUAUUUUAUAUUGCAUGGGAGAAGGAAGCUUCAAUAGCUAAGUUCUCGGAAUUCUGAAGAGGCUCUCCUCAAUGGAAUGCUAAUUUUAUUAGAGUAGAACAAGAUUGAGAAUUGGAUGGUGUCACUACAAUUGUACCAUAUUGUACUCCACAAGAGUGAUGAUUGGCACUAUUGACAAGAUAACAUGAGGCGCCUCCAGGAAAGUCAUGCAUAAAGGUUGCACUGGACUUCGUCUCACCUGAAAAUGUUGCUGAGUGCAUCCGUUUGACAGAGGAAUUCCGUACAUUACCCCAUAAUCAUAGGGCUAAGGAGGACAAGUUGGAGGUGAAGAAAAUGGCCGUUCAUGCUCUUAGCAAGAUUGUCAAAA